rnacentral:tRNA from 1 species
GGGCCGGUCGUCUAGUCUGGUCAGGACGUCGCUCUGACACGGCGAAGGUCGAGAGUUCAAUUCUCUCCCGGCCCACCA